AUCCGGCUGACGAGUCCUAAAUAGGGUGAAACGAGCGUAUUGGAU
rfam:Schistosoma haematobium scaffold430_1, whole genome shotgun sequence.